AUUGAACGCUGGCGGCAGGCUUAACACAUGCAAGUCGAGCGAGCGGCGGACGGGUGAGUAAGGUCUGGGAAACUGCCUGAGGGAGGGGGAUAACUACUGUAAACGGUAGCUAAUACCGCAUACGAUCAGAUGUGGCGAGAUGGGAUUAGCUAGUCGGUGGGGUAAUGGCUCACCUAGGCGACGAUCUCUAGCUGGUCUGAGAGGAUGAUCAGCCACACUGGGACUGAGACACGGCCCAGACUCCUACGGGAGGCAGCAGUGGGGAAUAUUGCACAAUGGGCGCAAGCCUGAUGCAGCCAUGCCGCGUGUAUGAAGAAGGCCUUAGGGUUGUAAAGUUCUUUCAGCGGGGAGGCGUUACCCGCAGAAGAAGCAACGGCUAACUCCGUGCCAGCCGCCGCGGUAAUAC
rnacentral:rRNA from 1 species